rnacentral:lncRNA from 1 species
UGAGUUUAAAUUUUAAUGAGAGAUUGAUGUUAGUGUCACCCUUAUUUAUUUAUAUGGUAAGAAUAAAUUUUAUUAAAAAAGUUGUAUAUGUAGAGAAAAAGGAAAUGUCGCAAUCUAGAUCUCUAGAGUAGCAUAUGCAACAUGUGAAUUAGGUUGCAUUUUUUUUUUUUUGAAGGAAUGUGAAUUAGGUUGCAUUGAAAGAUUUAUUUAUUUUUCUUUCUGAAAGGUUUAUAUUAUAUUAGUGGUAACAUUAUUAAAAUGAUAAUGUUCAUGGAAUUUAAAUAAACCUUCCAAAAGGGGGACUUUGUUCUGAGGUGCAAAGAAGGUUUGGUUGGUAGUCCCUAUCUUACCUCCAACUAAAUGUUAGCAUUCCUCUUUAUUAUGAGUUUGAAUUUUCUUCAUUUCUAAAAAAUAUAUAAAAGUUUCAAUUUGGUAAAGAUAUAAUAUACAAAAAGUAAAUAGUAGAUCGUACUGCCAUUAAAGUUUUUUAUUUUUGUAAACUUGUUUGUUUUUAUCUUUCAAAUAAAAUUAUCUUGUUUUAGAAAAAUGAAGAUGAUACUUA